rnacentral:rRNA from 1 species
CACGGGGGGAGCAAGCGUUGUUCGGAAUCACUGGGCGUAAAGGGCGUGCAGGCGGUCAGGUAAGUGGGAUGUGAAAUGCCCCGGCUCACCCGGGGACCGGCAUCUCAUACUGCUUGGCUUGAGUACGGGAGAGGAUGUGGGAAUUCCUGGUGUAGCGGUAAAAUGCGUUGAUAUCUACAGGAACUCCGGUGGCGAAAGCGGCGUGCUGGACCUUUUCUGACGCUGAGGCGCGAAAGCUAGGGGAGCAAACGGG